rnacentral:rRNA from 1 species
GAUGAACGCUGGCGGCGUGCCUAAUACAUGCAAGUCGAGCGAACGGACGAGAAGCUUGCUUCUCUGAUGUUAGCGGCGGACGGGUGAGUAACACGUGGAUAACCUACCUAUAAGACUGGGAUAACUUCGGGAAACCGGAGCUAAUACCGGAUAAUAUUUUGAACCGCAUGGUUCAAAAGUGAAAGACGGUCUUGCUGUCACUUAUAGCUGGAUCCGCGCUGCAUUAGCUAGUUGGUAAGGUAACGGCUUACCAAGGCAACGAUGCAUAGCCGACCUGAGAGGGUGAUCGGCCACACUGGAACUGAGACACGGUCCAGACUCCUACGGGAGGCAGUAGUAGGGAAUCUUCCGCAAUGGGCGAAAGCCUGACGGAGCAACGCCGCGUGAGUGAUGAAGGUCUUCGGAUCGUAAAACUCUGUUAUUAGGGAAGAACAUAUGUGUAAGUAACUGUGCACAUCUUGACGGUACCUAAUCAGAAAGCCACGGCUAACUACGUG